AUAAAAACGUAUGUAAGUAAUCAAACUCCGAUGAUUUAACCAAACACAAACACCGGUCUUCCCCAUUUCGCUAAACUGCGACAGAGGUAAUUCAUGUGCUGAUGGGGUAAACAGUUUCACAUGUAGAGUCCCUCCGGUACACCUUCCUUCUUCUUGAACAUGACCUUCUCUUUGGCCUUCUUGAAGUCAGCAUGUGUCACCUGUAAACAGAAAGUAGAAAAGAGCAGGAGAUGUAAAACAUUCAGAAUCAAAACUAUCGUCCAGUUACAUAAUAACUUAAGAAAAAUAGAAAGACUGCCCUGGUGAAACAAACUGUCUAGGAAGUUCAACUGUGUCUUGGGUAGUUAUACGUUCAAGUUCAUAGUUAGCUCAGAAGGUUAUUUUAUCAUGACUUCACUAUUAGUAUUAAGAAGGAUUCUGACUACAGAGCAAUGAUGUCUUACCUUCAUCCUGCGCUCUCUUAAGGCAAGCAAUCCAGCUUCAGUGCAUAUUGCUUUGAUAUCAGCACCAGAAAACUCAUCCUUGGUCAUCACAAACUCUUCCAGGUUCACAUCUUCUGCUAGUGUCAUCUUAGCUGUGUGUAUCUGCCAAAGGCCCAAACAGAACUCUUGAUAAGGGGAAAAUAAAAGGUUUUCAAUCGAAUACAUAGAGCUACAUAUUAAGCAGAAAUGCACCUGGAAGAUACGCCGCCUUGUUUUAAUAUCUGGGAGAGGAAAUUCAAUCUUUCUGUCUAUUCGACCUGGUCGGAGCAAGGCUGGGUCCAGGCUCUCAAUGCGAUUCGUCGCUAGAAUAACUUUUACAUCUCCUCUUGAAUCAAAACCAUCCAACUGAUUUAACAACUCCAACAUGGUUCUCUGAAUCUCACGCUCACCUCCUGAAUGAGCAUCAUACCUAUAAUAAAGAGAAAAAAAAGUAAUCAGGACUCAAUUUAACUGAUUAGUCAUGGGAAACUCCAACAAUUUUUCCUCGUAUACAAAGAAUAUCCAUACUAUAGUGAACUCCCAAUAUGUGGAAUACAUUACCUCUUUGUUCCAACUGCAUCAAUCUCAUCAAUAAAGACAAUUGAAGGAGAAAGAUCAUCAGCCACCCUAAACAGCUCUCUUACAAGCUUGGGGCCAUCACCAAGGUACUUUUGGAUCAACUCACUGCCAACAACACGCAAGAAUGUUGCUGAUGUAGAAUUAGCAACAGCCUGCCAUUCACAAUUUGGAACAAUGAAAAAAGUUACACCCUUUUUUAUAGGAGAAGAUAUAUAGUUAUCCUACAACCAGUACUGGAACAAGAAUAACACGCAUUUAUGGGGUUCACCAAUUCAAUAGAGAAGAGAUGUAUGAAUGAAGAAAAACAUGGAUGUCGAAGACAUCAGUGCCCAAGGGAAAACAACAAAAGAAUUAAACCUUUGCAAGUAGAGUUUUCCCUGUUCCAGGUUCCCCAUAUAAUAUGACUCCCUUCGGAGGCCUGAUUCCAAUGUCCUCGUAUAGCUCAGGAUGUGUCAAAGGAAGUUCGACUGCCUCCUUGAUCUCCUGAAUUUGGGCGUCCAAACCACCAAUGUCAGCAUAAGACUCCAACGGUGCCUUUUCAACUUUCAUAACGGAAACCAUGGGAUCAACUUCAUCUUGCAAAAUUCCGACCACUGAGAGAACCUGACAGAAAUGAUAUAUCAAGCUUAAUUCUCAUCAAACUUCUGACAAGUAAAUAGGCGCAUAAAGUUUCAAGUUCGUCACAUCAAAUAGUGCUACAAUUUCCAAAGUGAAAUGAAACUAAAGAUCUAGAUAUGCACUCAGUGGAAACAAAAUACAGAGAAUUCAAGAGUUGAAGUUAGAUGCAGACUGAAGAAAACAUGUACUGCAGAGUGAAAUACUUAAAGAGAAGCAAUGCAUCUAACAGCAAUCUUGAUCUUAUGGAAGCAAUGACACAAACUGUGGUUUACACUUUAAUUACGGAGUUCGAGUGAACAGAUGUUGUUUUCAAAACUAUCAAUUGUUGAAAAUGGUUGAUGAUAAUGCUCAUGUCUGAAAGUGAUCAGCAUCAUAUGAAAAAGAUGGUAUUUAACUAUUUAUCCAAAUAUUUAAUUUCCGCAAAAAAUUUCCUUGGACAACAAGGAAACAGUCAAUUAGCGAUUAAAUAAACCUCUGCAAAUACACCAUAAACAUCAUCUUAAAAGUUACAGCACAGUUCAUGCAAACAUAUCUUCACUUUAAUCGAUUGUAGUACAUGCAUGGUUUCAUUUCAACGUUGUCUGUAAAUAACGUCCGCCUACAGUACAAACAACUUUACCUUAUCAAACACCAUAUAUAUGUGUCACAGUUGUCUACCUACAUCACAUGCAACGACCGUGGUCAUCACUAUUCAUAGGUUUCACCCCAUCCCACCAUGUCUAGAUGACCUAAUAUAUUCCCCAAGUUCACCAAAUUCGAUCUAUAUUAAUUCACUCUCAUGUUUUUUGUCUCCCUUAACGAAUUUGAUCUUUCCACUAUUUUUUUAAACCUUUUGACUCCAGAAAUUCACCGGCAUCUUCCACUAGUUUGCUUUAACCAUUUCGGAUCCAAGGGAGUCACCAGCAUUAUUACUAUAAUUUGAAUUUGCAUUAGGAUUUGUCACCAAAUCUACUGCCCGCACCUCUUCUAAUCCAUCAGAAAUCCAGAUCAAUGUAAAAUUUACAGAUGUACCUUAUUAUGCAUCAGUAUAGAGCAUCCGGGCUCCAACUGGUCCUUGUCGACGAACGACAGUAUGCUGACAUAAUACUCGGGCCCAACAGACGACGAGACAAUCGCGUGGCUCUCGUCGAUGAUCUCCUCGAGCGAGCCCACGCUCAUAGGGGUCCCGCGGAGGUCAUCGACCUUAGAUCGGUCCUCCUCCGUCUUGUCUUCGCUGGGGCGCAGCCGCUCCUGGCUCACGACGAACUCUUCCUCCAUGAGGAGAUAGUCCUUCACGCGGUCCAGCUUGAGCAGGCGGAGGCGGCACUUGGAGAGCGGCGCCACUGGGGGCAGACGUGCCGCGACGUCCGGCCCCUUCUGUCUCCGCUGCUUGCGCCCCACGCGGGACGGUGCGGCGGGGGGCUCGAACUUCUUGUCCUUCUUAUCACCGGCGUUGCCAUCGCCCGGCUUGCGGUCUCCGGGGAGACCUCCCUGCUUGCCCAUGCCGCCCGGAGUGCCCUGUCCCAUCGCCGCCGGCCGGUUGCUUCGAUUCAAGGGUUAGGGUUUGGGUCUGGGUCUGGGUCUGGGAGAAGGUGGAGUUGCGGAGAGGGAGAUCGAGUCGAAAUAAAGAGGGCACUUUCUUUUUCUCUGGAGGUUAGAUUUCCUUCUUUUCUCUAGAGAUAAAUAAACACUGUUAUGUUAGUACGUGGUCAAAACAAAACAAAAUGACUGUUAUGCUGUGUAUAUUUAUGUCUCUUUCUCAAGUCUCACAUUCUUAUUUUCUCGCUCGAUAACACCCGGGUCCCUUUUCCACUCAACCUCUUAAUUCUGAAACAGUAAAAUAGUGUUUGGCUAAAAUAAAAUUGUUACGAAAAUACAGAUAACCAUUAGACGUUGCUUUUUCGUCUAGAUACGUCGCACGACUAAUUAUCAUUAUAAGCAGUUCAGAAACAUCCAACAUAUUUUUAAGGUUUAUGCUUAUGUACAUUUAAAAAAGACUCAAAAAUACGGAUUGUUCGGAUCGCUAAGAAGGGCAUGAUGAUUGAUUUAAAAUUUAUAAGCCUCUCUUUCUUCCUCCUGACUUUUUGUUUCUCUUUGUACAGUGCUCUUUCUUUAAUGAUGGGGAUCAACCUUUUUUCCAAAAAAAAAUGUUUCUUCCUCUCCAACGCCUGCUCUUUCCCUCCCUCUCUCUUCCGCGUCUAUUCUCAGCGGCCAUGGCGCCCCUUCUCACAGACAACGAAUGGAUUUUUCCAAACCCUUCGAUGGCCAGGAGCGAGCUGAGCGAUCGCUCGGGCCCUAAAUCGCUAUUAGGAAGUUAGGAUUAGCACCAAAAAAAUCCAACAAUCGCAACAGGGCACUCACGGACACACCACACAUGGAGUAAAAAAGAAUCAAAUCCGUAUGUUCAACUUUGAUCGAGGCGACUGCUUGGCUCCUACAUCUCUCCAACUUGCACAGGCGGUGACUUGACAACUUCGUCACUUCGACUAUUCAACUGUUGAUGAAGUGUCGAUCUUCAUUUAGUCUUGUGCGGAGUUGCGCCGUCGAGCCGAUCAAAUUAAUUGAUUCCAAUUUCUGAUCUAGAUCAAGUUCAUAGUAUGUCUCCAAUUUUUGAAUUUUGCUCCGGGCCCCCAAUUUCUGCAGACGGCCUAGAUCCUCCAAGAGGACGGAAACCAUGGCAGGGCAUGACUUGAGCAUGAAGAGCAGGAGAUGCGGGUCUGGAGAAAGUUAACGUGCGGACUAAGUGGAGAAAGCUGUUGACUGAACCAAAAAGACAUUAGCUUUUGAGUUUGAAGGGAGGGGUGUACCGAAGCAAGCAUCUAUUUUCAAUGCUCUCAAUUUGGGGGCAAAAAAAAAUCAUAAACAGUUCUAAAUGGAAUCAACUUACUUUGACACCAUCACUUUUGUACUAACCUACUACCAUCAUAUCACGAAGUCGCGUUGCCGUGCCCGUUGGUUUCAAUAAUACAAUGAUAGAAAGAACAACAAUAUCUAAGUACAUAAAAGAUGAAAAAAAUUGCGUGAACUUUUUGUUAGUGAUGUAAGAAACAAUAAAUGCUUAUGUUCUAAUGGUUUUUGCAGGAGAAAACACAUGGAUGGUGGCUGCCACCGCAACAUCCAAUUUAUUGUUUUCAAGGUGUAGGAAAUGACCAAUAUCAUUAUUCACUUUGACCCCCAUGCUAAUCCUUUGUACAAAACUCGCAAUCCAAUUUCGCCACAAGGACAAAAAUCCUCUCAUACACCGUUUUCUUAAAGAAAAUGCCACUUAAUGUUGUCGUAUCGUAUAUCUUUUUGAAAUUUACUUUGAAAAUAAACACCAUCCAUCUCAUUCGCAAUCUCAUGACGUACGGCCACACCCUCCAAAAUGUGUCUUCCUAGCAUGAAAGAGCUGGAUAGAUAUGUGAAUUGAGCCUGGCUCAGGUGGUGUGGUUUUUUGUGGUGGAACCAACCCACCCAGGUUCAAGUCCUAAACUUGGCAUGGAUGCUCACAUUUCUUGGAUUUAACCGGCGCUUUGCUUUUAUUGGUAAGUGACGUACCCGUCAACAGCUGUGCGUGUGUGCGUUCAUAGGGUGAGUGUUCACGUUCACGUGUGUUUAUGAGUUACUGUGUUUUUCAAUAAAAAUAAAAACCUCGAUAAAUCAUCUUGUGGGCCAUGGCCGUGAUCCGAUUGGUGCAGACCUUGGUAAAUAUAUCUUAAAACCAUCAGAUUUUUGUUUUCGAGAAAGAGGGAAAAAAAACUCGGCAUCAGCAUCGAUCGAUGCACACAACCAUAGACAAGACCAUCAAAUGGACCAAUCUUUUGAAAGAAAAUAAAAGGAAAAUACUAGGUUGCUUUGCUCAUUAUAUCACCGAAUCAGACAGAGGUUCAAACUAUCACCAAAUAGAAAUAAGGAAGGUAGACAGAACGACAAACUUGCCCCCAUAAAAUUAGACCACCAAAAAAACUUUGUACUACAGAGUUUCAGAUACACGCUACAAUAAAAUGAAAGAACAUGCAUUCUUUUCUCCACCUUGAACAACAAACACACGGUUCUACAUCUAGAUAUCUUGAGAACAAGGAGUUCUCAAUCAUGAGAUAGCAGCGAUAUGUUCUUGGAGUCUUGAAUAUAGCACAGAACAUGAAGAAUAAGCAUGUAUCAAGGUAUGCUCCAUGUAUGUACAAAUGUGCUAGCUACUAACAAUCGACAGCAAUCACAUAAGGCAUAGCAUCUUCGCGUGCAAGAGGGACAUCUCACGCUUUGCUUCUCCAGAAUGAAUGAUUCAUGUAACAGCUUUACUCUUCUGCAUGACGAUUCACAUCAUCACAUGUACGUUUGUUUGGAGAGCUUGUAACCGGAAACUAUAGCUGACAGUGCGAGGGAAACAAAUGCAAGGAAGGCCAUGCUGAUCGCGGCAGCGGUAGCAUCGGUGAAGUUAUUGAUCACUGCUGUUCUCAUGCGGUUCGUGAUGGGGAUAGCGGCAGAAAGAGCAGACAUCAGCAAGUAUGCGACUACCUGCAGAUAUGAUUACGAGUUUCUGUUAACUCCUAUACAUAUGGUUAUGAAAUUUUGCACCUGACAUAUUCUCAGAAAGAAUGCAAGUGACAGGCAAGUCAAGGAGUUCAUAUUUGGAUGGUUAUGAAACAUGAAAGGUUCAAAACUUGCUAGUCUGCUUUAAGCAGGCACAAGUAAGAAUUUUAUGGGAUGUAGAAUUCCUGACUCGUUACUUUUUCUUUUUUGGAAGAACUGACUUUACAUUGUCAGUCCUACUUUCAUAAUUAAGAAAAUUUAGCAAUGUGUACUAGGAAAGUAAAUUUAUCAAGGUUAAGUUCCAGAAAAACUACUUUUGAGUACAGUUAGCAUACAAAUUCCAUAGUUUGUUUCCAUGAGAUCCAAAGCCAUGAAAAACAAAACAGAAGCGUGAUUGUAGCAAGCUGGUAAACAGCAAUUAUUUGGAGGAGGCAGUAGCUAACCAAAAAAGCCAGCCCUCAUGUAGAAGCAGCACGGGUCCAAAAUAUUCAUGCCCUCCAGGGCAUCCUAACUCCUAAGUAAAUGCACACCACAAGCAUUUGAGAGUCUUAAGCAUCAUUCAAUGGACAAAAUGAACAUCUUUUUAAGAUGCAGUACUAUACUGCUCCAAGGCUCCAAGGAAACCAAUCAUUUGGAACGUACAUGGAAUGGAACAUGUAUCAACUUCUAAUGGCUUCUCGCUGGUCCCAACCACUCAAAUCUACCCAUUCCAAUACUACUACACUACACUACACAUGCAGCAUGGUGGGUUGGCUCACAGAUUUACCAAAUUAUUGGAGCAUUAUUGAGAGCUACUAGCCUCUUGUCAUUUUCUUAGUCUCUUCCAGAAACAAAAGAAACGAGAAGAGGUAAUGGGUUGUCUAGUUUGUAAAGCUAUGUCUGGGAGAACAUCUGAGCGUGACACUUCUUAGACCAAUCUAGCAACUCCAACAGUCAAAGACGCCUCCACUCGGAUACAAGAACAAUACUUAUCAGGAUAUCAGCGUAUUGCACGCUAGUAUGGAUUGCACGUUACAUGGAUGGUGGGAAAAGAAAAGAAAAAAAAACUUGUAGUGGGUUGAUGCCUCUUUAUCAUGGAUUUGGCAUCUCUACUCGCCUGUCGCUACUCUUACUUUAACAGGUUAAAUUUCUCCCACACUUUAUUACGGAGUAUUUCUUUAUACGGCCCCCUUUCCCUUCUCUGUCUGAGCAGCAAUCCAGUCGUAUGGGAUCGAAAUUUCAUGAACUCCUACCGGAUCGGGUGAAAUAAUUUCUUUAACUAAGUAGCAAACAAUAGUAUAUCUGCAGACUAACAGCUCAGAGCAAGUGACCUGAUCACCGACGAAAUCGAAAAGCCUCCCCGACGCGGCCGAGACGGGAUCGGCGCCGCCGCGCAUCCGGUGAGCAUGCCGCAGCGCCUGCGCCAGCGAGUAGAGUAAGGCCAGGGCCACGAUAGCAAGCAGAUACCUGGUCAGCAGAAACAACAAGUAAACAACGCAGCACAUGUGAAGCCGCUUGCAAUAAGCCCGAAUCGAAGAGCGGCCCAAGGCAAGCUAGACCUGAAUCGCGCACCUGUACUCCUGGUAGCGGUCGAACUGCAUCCAGUCGCCGUGCUGGUUGGACGCGACGAGCACGAGCGCGACGAAGGCGAAGGCCGCGGCGGCGGCGUGCAGCGCGAGCGGGCACUUGUCGAGCAUUUCUUCCCGCCGCCCCCGCGCCAACACCGAAUCCACCACGCCUCCGCCGCCGCCACGGGCUCGGGACCGUCCCGCUCCCGCGCCCGCGGUGGAGGCGCCGUUGUAGGAGCUGUAGUUAUUUUCAGCCUCCGGGGGCUUCGUGGAGGCCUCGAUGGCCGGGGGCGGGGAGGCGUCGGCCGUGACCAUCGCCAUCGCUCACCAGUGGCACAGCAGUCCCUCGAUGCUGAAUGGGGGAAGCCUGUAAAACUGAAGUGCUCUGCUUUGUGUGGGAAGCCGGAAAAUGCACUUGAGGCGAAAGCAAACCUCCUCUCAUUUUCUCAAGAAUCUUCACGGGUCACGGCUCGGUAGCUCUCGGGCCCAUUUGUCAGUGAGCUUCUGAUGCGUGCGUUCUUUCCGGUACCUAGAUAAUGAGGUCAUACUUCGUUGACAAGUGGGGACCGUUGAUUGGUCUCGUUAACUUUUGUGUGACGAAUUGUGGGCCUCCAUCUUGACCACCAGGUGUUUAUCUUUUCCGAGCGACUGCCAGGCUGCCAGCCAGAUGGUCCAAUAGAGGCUGCCGCGUCGUUUUCUUCUUUUUUUUUUUGCGCAAAGUAUCUCGUCUGAAGUUCACGAGAAACUUGAUCAUUUUUGUUUUUGCACAAAGCAGGAAGGAACCUGAUCAAGGCAGGAAGGAAGACAAAGAAGACAAACCUGAAAAAGAGGGUCAUAAAACUGUAGGGCGAUGUCUCAGGAAAUAUCACGUGCUCACUGUAUAACCUGAAGCCUGAUAUCCUCUUUAUUCACUCUUAUGCUCCAUACCUGCAGCGGAUCAGCAAUAUGCGCUUUAAUCGCUAAAAUGGCUAGGUUGACAUUGUCAAAUAUUCUGUAGAAUGAUUUAACGGCGCAGAAUAGAUUGUUCAGGUCUGAAAUGUUUGGGUUCAUAUAUUUCUCGUUGAAAAGGGGUAUCGAGCAUUCGAGCAGCGCGGACUCAGAGACAAGUCUACGAAUAGAUGGGCCUUUUGAUAUGGGUUUUUUUUCUAUCCUUGUAAUUUUGCACAAAUUUGAGACUAUUGACUAAACAAAAUAAACUUGAACUUUAUCAUAUUGAAAACAAAGCGAUGCGUCAAGAGUGACAUAUGGCGUAGCUCUUUGAUACUGUGUUCGCUGAGUUACAAUGCCUUGGGUAAAGGAUGUACACUACAAAAAUUGCGUCAAAUUGUUUUUUUUUUACUUCAGAAAAAAAACUCUAGCUCUAAAAUCUGGCCAUGUGAAGUAGAAUGGUGAAACUGGUUGAUAAUUUCGAUGCUCGGGUCAAAAGAUAGUGCAUUCUGUAUUUCGUUCUAAAAGAAGAAAAGAAGAUCACCAAACAUCCUUUCGUGCGGAAAAUCAUGGCCACCUUAUUGUCCCUGUAUGGGCAUCACGUGGCAAGGGAGGUGCAUCCUUGAAUAGAGAUGGAAAUAAAGGAGAGACUUUACGGGGGGGUUUUUAACAGAGGAGAAACUUUACGUUUGUUCUGCGGGAAAAAUAAAAGGAGAAAAAUAUGGAAACGGAGCGGAAUGUAACGGCAUAAGGCCGAAGAUCAUGACUUGCUCAAGGCCGGAGUAUUUAACUGGGUGCAUCAUGGCUCCAAAAUUCAGCCCAGGGUGGUCAAAAUCGCAGUGCUAUCGAGUUCACUCAUAGAAAAAAGCCUGCUCCCUAUUGAGAGAUAACGUGGUUGUGUUAAGGCCGCCACGGCCCACAGGCCACGCGGAUUGGGCUGCUUCCAUGGAGUCAUGCCAACUCGGGUUGGGCGGUUAUCCGUUCUUUCGUUUUUUUCUUUUGUUGAGAGAAAGUCCUUGUUGCAGGCGACUGCCAAUAAUUUGUUGCUGCGCAAUCAAACAUUUCACUAACUCUCAAAAAAAAUAUUCAAACAUUUCACUGUUGAGCUGUUUACACUUUUGAAUUCACCAGGAGUUGUAACUACUGAUAACCCAAUCAUCCAGAAAUAGGGUGGAGUACAUGAUCCACCCUAUUUGUGAAGUAGUCCGAGGUAGUUAUUUGUUUCGCAAAGUGAAAAUUAAGAGCUAAAGACAAUAGCCGCGAGCUGUGCUGGUAAAGGGUUUUGUUUGCUAAUACUGUGCUUUGCUUGGUGCUGAAGGGUGUGCCUUCUCGUGCUCACUUGGGGCGAGAGCUGCUUCACCGUUGUUUAACCGACGCUACAACUCAUACUACCAGAUGUGACGGAGAAAAAGUUUCCCUUGUUUCAUGCAUGCAUCGGACAGAAAGGUUUCAUCCCCUUCCAUGCAAGAAUGGAGUAUCAUAUACAGUAGAAUAAUGCAAUUUGCUACUUAUUUGCUUUUGUACGGCGCAAUUUAUGACUUCUUUUUGUUCACGGUUUGGGGGAUGCUAGCAUCCUCAAAGACAAAAAUGUUGACCGGUAAUUAGCGGCACCACUGGAAACUCUUGUCGGCGAAUUCAACCUACUGGUCAGCUGACUAGUGACUGUAUUAGGUAAAUUUUCCUGUACCUAAUACUCCACCACCCUCAAUAUGAAGUAUGGGAAGGGCGUAUCUGACUUUUCAUUUUAGCGCUAGUGAAAAGUUAAAAAAUAAAGUUGGGCUCCUCCCCCCCCCCCCAACUCCCCACCAUAUCCUUCCUAAACGCAUAACAACGUCGCCGCCUCAUCACAGAGCGCCGUCACCCUCCACCCUCUCUCUCCGUGCCGGCGCCCUCGACCUAGCCCGCGUCGCCGCCGCCUUCCUCUAGCGCGCCACCGCCGUACUCUCCCUCAUCUAGCGUACCACCGCCUCCCUCCCCCCAGCCUGCGCCGCCGACUUCGACGCCCAGUGCGCCGACACAUUCCUCCCUGCUAACAACACGCCAUCGCCGUCGCCGUCCUCAUCUUUCCAGGCCACCGCAAUCCUCUCUCCAGGCAUCCGCAUCGACGGGGAACGAGGGAGAAGGUCCGGGAUUUUAUUUUUCUUCGACUGUAGUUGGAUUACGAUUUUGCCCCUGUUUCCGGAUACUCCAUCCUGAUACUCCACACAUCUAAACUGGAGCAUUAAGGAGUAGUAUCAUCUAAUUUGAGCCGGUGGAUCUAAAAAAUAGACGGUUCAAAUUAAUUCUAGAGUAUUUUAGAAGAGCUCCAUUAUUGUGAGUGAAAUGUAUGUACGGUUUGGUUAUUGGCACCAGCAGCACUCCCUUUCACAUAGGAAUAGUCGGGCAUCAUGAAAACGCAUAACGUAAUCACGAGAAGAUGUGUCAUGUGUGCACGGGACUUCAAUAGUUUUUCUGGAAAUUUUGUGAUUUCAAAUUACAAGCAAGCAUGCAUAACCCAUGCCAUUACAUACUCCAUAAAACAAACUUCCGGGAUCUCUUAUAUAAAAAACUUCCGGAUCUUCUCAUGUUCUCUCCUUGCCAUGACAGGCACCCAAACCCAACAACUCUCACUGCCUUCAAUCUUGGCAGUGAUGAGAGUGGAAAAACCACCGAGAGAGUGAGAAAAAUUACAAGCGAGAGGCAACCAGCCGAAAGUGAUCGCUGGCCGGCCCUCCUCACCUAAAAGCUAAAACUCAACGAUCGAACGGCCAUAAGCGCCCAGCACAUGGCAUACGGCCACGCGACGCCGUUCGAUCAUCCUUGCGUGCACACGGUACACCGUGCACAGUACCAGAUCCUACUGCAUCCCCCGUAUAUGUACAACUCGAUCGGAAGCAAACUAGAAACGGUAGCAGAUGCCGUUUCCCCUCUCCAUGAAUCGAGUCAUGCUGAGUGAGCUAAUUCUUCCGGGAUGAUCUGGAGAUGCGGCCGCCACACCGUCGCGCGGACGCUCCGGCCGCGCUUGACGCACCGGGCCUUGCCUUCCGACAGCACCUCCGCGAGGUAGCUGUCUCCGGCGGCGCCGUCUUUCUGCGCCACCUUAUUAUUAGCGCUAGCGCUCGGCACGCUCGUCGGCUUCAACGACGACGGCCCCUUCUUGGACUGUGGCUGCUGCGACGGCUUCCUCUUCUUCUUCUUCUCCGGCACCGACGACGCCGGCACGAGGAAAUAGAAGCAGCCGCGCUCGAGCUCCGAGCCGGGGGCGACGACGACGAGGAUCCGCCGCGCGCCGCCCUGGGGGCACGGCCGGCUGACGACGUGGCUGGGGUGCGCCGCCAUCACGUCGCCGGCGGUGAGCGGGCGGGAGUACUCCUCGAUGUGGCCGUUGAGGUGGACGAUGCGGAUCACGUCGAAGGAGCCGCAGGGGAGGACGCAGGCCAGGCAGCACCGCAGGCUGUUGCCCAUGCUCUCCUACUAACCGUUGCUUAAUUAGCAAUGGAAAAACUCUCCCUGCUUUCUGGACGCCUGGAAUUGUUGCUUGCCUCUUAGUUUGGCUCUUGGGGACGUUCUUGUAGCACUCGGCUUUAUAUAGGGGAGGGGACUUCCACUUGUUGGAGUACUGAUUACUGAAACAAGUGGAAUACUUGUAAAAAAACAAGUGAAUAAAUUAAAGCUAGUGCAAACGAAAAAAAAAUUAAGUGGCAAAAGCUUUGCCGUUAUAGUAAUAAAGCAGGAAUUAUGUACAUUGGUGGAGGGGAUGACAUAGAGACUUUGCCCCAGUGCCGAUCUAGGCAGUAAUCUCAUCUUUGAUGUGGGAAAUGACCACGUUCCGGGGUGACGAGACAUUUCGAAAAAGACAGGAGUUGCGCUCCUUCCAGAUCCCCUAGGCAACAAAAAUGGCGAGAGAACGGGCACCUUUAGAAGUCCUACCCGAAGACUACGUACAACAUGGAGUCUCAAAGGACAAAUAACGAGCAAUUGCCUGAAGAGGAGGCAGCCGGGGGGGCAUCUAGCAUCAUUCCAGAACGCGCCUACAGAAGCGGCACUAAAAAUGUAGGUGGGCCACUGGCUCGGGGUUGCGAACUGACUGCACAUCUUGCAAAACCGGACCAUGGGGCUACCCCCUAGCCUCCCACCUGUCAGCGGUCCAAAGCCGGUUUUGCAAAGCCAACCAGGGGAGGAGCUUAGUUUUGUAGAACAUAAACUAGAAAAUUAUUUUGAGAUACACGCACAAAUGUCACAAAAGAACACAAAGAAAAUACAAAAACAAUGAAUUAUAAUUUGGGUUAAAAAUGCUACUCCGUAGUGAAGUCCCGCUUAAGUUUGACUACGAGCUAUAAUUUCUGACUAAAUUUUUAUUGUGAAAACUGAGAUGGAUGAGAGAUAAGAAAAUUUGAUUAGGAAACCAAAAAUACGACCAACAGAGAUAAUCGAAAAUGUAGUUAUAACAGUUUGCUAUAACAGUUAGAAUAGCACACAUGCUCUUAAGGUUUUUUCAGGAUCAAAAUAUUACUUUAUUAACAUUAAGCUAAUCAUGAUAUAUAUCUUCACGGUAUACUUACUUGAUAUUGUAUAUAAUACUAGCUUAAAUACCCAUGCGUUGCUAUGGAUAAAAAAAUUAGACUACUCGCUAAAUUAGAUUAAAAUAACUAUUACAUGUUAGGGGCACUGCCCAUCUUAUUCCAAUUUUGAUGACAAAAAUUAUCCACACAUGUCAAUCUUUUGCAAGAGGUUUAGUUUUUUCUUUUUUUUCCCAUUCGACCAAAAUAUGAUCGGUUCCGCAAUCACUGAUAAUGGAACAAAUAGGUUUAAUUGUUUGCAUUAGAAAGAGAGGACAGUUGUUUUUUUGACAAUAGAAAAAAAUGAUGAGGUUAUUUCUUCACAACAAAAGUCGGUGACGGACCGCCGCCACCAAUUGGCUCUUUUAUAAGAGUAAAGAUUACAUUUUUCUAUAACUAGCUAAAUGUCCGCGCUUUGCUACGAGAUUAAGAAUCGGCGGCUGUGGUUCAUAUUUUUUUAAAAAAUUCUGAUAAAUAAUAAAUAUCUCAAUAUAUUAUUUUUGAAAAACAAUUAUCUUGAAAGUCAUCAAACCAAUCAAGAAUAGUCAAAAGAUCAUGAUACAUAUAAAAUAAGUGGCAAUUAGAUGAGUCUGUAACCAUUAAGGGAUAGUAUUGUUGAGUGAACUCGCGACCACCGACUCAGAUCUUUAUAAGUGUAAAGACCGUGGUCCAGCCUAAAAAAGUUAAAAACUUUCAUCAAAAUAAAAAAAGUAAAAAAUUAAGGUACUCACUCCGAUCCAUAUUAAUUGUCUCAUAUUUAUUCAAAUAUGGAUGUAUCUAUGUCUAAAAGGCAUCUAGAUACUCCCUCCGUCCCAUAAUAUGAGGCACGCGCGCAUUCCUAGAUCGUCA
rnacentral:lncRNA from 1 species